rnacentral:rRNA from 1 species
GAUGAACGCUGACAGAAUGCUUAACACAUGCAAGUCUUUGGCGAAGCUGUGCUUGCACAGCCUAGCCAAGGCGGACGGGUGAGUAACGCGUAAGGAACUUGCCCUGCAGUCAGGGAUAACAGACGGAAACGACUGAUAAGACCUGGUAAAGUCAGGCGGACUCAUGUCCAGCCUGAUGAAAAGAGAUGCUGCAGGAGAGCCUUGCGUCCUAUUAGCUUGUUGGUGGGGUAACGGCCCACCAAGGCGAUGAUAGGUAGCCGGCCUGAGAGGGUGGACGGCCACAAGGGGACUGAGAUACGGCCCUUACUCCUACGGGAGGCAGCAGUGGGGAAUAUUGGACAAUGGGGGCAACCCUGAUCCAGCAAUUCUGUGUGCACGAUGAAGGUUUUCGGAUUGUAAAGUGCUUUCAGCAGGGAAGAAAAAAAUGACGGUACCUGCAGAAGAAGCGACGGCUAAAUACGU